UAAACAUAGCCAAGUGGUUAAAGUGUUUGUCUAAGCUGGGUAAAAUGGAAGCGCUUGGUAUUUCUACACCUGUCUCUUUAAAUCUGGGCCUUGGGGCCAAGGUCAGCCCAGCUCUGGAGAUCAGGAAGUGCGUGGAGUCCCUGACACACUAAGCCGCUGGGAAUGUGCAGCUCCAGAAUGGGUUUGCUGGGGCAAAGAAGAGCUUUGCUGGAAGGAUCCAAGCAACCUAAAUUGACUGAUGCUGAAUAUCCCAGAGUUCCAGUGACUCAGGAGACACACACCAUCCAGUACACAGAUAGAUAAAUAUGUAACAAGGUGAAACAGACAAAUCUAGUAAAGAGUAUAAUAUUAAUAAUGACUGAUAAAAGACAAAGUGACUGGCAAGGGACCUAAGCUCCUAACAUCCUAAUGAUUUAUCAUGUUGGCCUGCCCAGGAAAAGUUCUCAGGUGCUGGAUAAGUAAUUGUCAGGAAACUGAUUUGUCCUAAGAGUAUCCUCAAGUGGUGGAAUGGAAGAGACCAUCCAGAGAGAGACAUUGGAGAAUUGGGGUAAACCAGCGGUGGAAGGUAAAAAAUGCAGUGAUGGUUCAUUUCCCGGUGGAUCAUUUCUCAGGCAAGAGAGGCUUGGCUCUCUUCUCAGACACAUUCUCAGGCAC